AGAGGAUACCUAGGAAAGUACUUUUGGCAUGUUUGGUUAACCAUGGAAAAGUGACAAAUUUCCAAAGUGCUUAUGUUUGGUUGACCAUUCACUUUCCUAGGAAAGUUAUGUAUAAUUCCUAUUAUGCCCUUAAUAAAAAUUAGGUCUUUAAUGCCUCUUUAAUGCUUCUUUAAUGCUGAAGGGUCUUUUUGGGAAAAAAAUAAAAAAGGAGUGAUUCCCACCUCAUGGAAAAGUAACUUUCUCAUGUUUCUCAUGGGAAAGACUUUUCCAUGAAAUGUGGGAAUCAUAUUCCCAUGGGAAUACAACUUUCUCAUCUCUCUCCUUUGAAAACUCCAACCAAACAAGAGGCAUUUCAUUACUUUCCCGUUGACCACACUUUCCCCCCUCCUUUUUCUGCGAACCAAACGAGCCCUU
rnacentral:lncRNA from 1 species